rnacentral:lncRNA from 1 species
UUAGUGUUGUCGGUAGGAGUGAUAGUGUUGCCGUUGGCAUCGGCUGCAGUAGUGAUCGUGUUGCUCAAAGUAGGAGGACGAGAUGUUGCGGGAUUAGUAAUAGCGGUGGAGGGAGGGGAUCGGACCUUCUGGGGUAAGGGACGGAGGAGGAAAUGGGGAGGAGAAGGGGCGGCGGAGUGGAAGAGGUCGAAGCGGGAGCGGGCGAAGGGGGAUGCGGAGGCAGCGGCGGCGAAGGGAGGAG